CACGUAGUUAGCCGGGGCUUCUUAGUCAGGUACCGUCAUUAUCUUCCCUGCUGAUAGAGCUCUACAUACCGAAAUACUUCUUCACUCACGCGGCGUCGCUGCAUCAGGGUUUCCCCCAUUGUGCAAUAUUCCCCACUGCUGCCUCCCGUAGGAGUCUGGGCCGUGUCUCAGUCCCAAUGUGGCCGUUCACUCUCUCAAGCCGGCUACUGAUCGUCGCCUUGGUAGGCCGUUACCCCACCAACAAGCUAAUCAGACGCGGGUCCAUCUCACAGCGAUAAAUCUUUGAAAGGAUCGUCAUGCGGCAAUCCCUUGUUAUGCGGUAUUAGCAGCCGUUUCCGGCUGUUGUCCCCCUCUGUGAGGCAGGUUACCCACGCGUUACUCACCCGUCCGCCACUCAGUCAUUACCAUCUUCCCUCCGAAAAGUUCCGUCGGUAGCGCUUCGUUCGACUUGCAUGUGUUAAGCACGCCGCCAGCGUUCAUCCUGAGCCAGGA
rnacentral:rRNA from 1 species